AAUGAACGCUGGCGGCAUGCCUAACACAUGCAAGUCGAACGAGACCUUCGGGUCUAGUGGCGCACGGGUGCGUAACGCGUGGGAAUCUGCCCCUUGGUUCGGAAUAACUCAGAGAAAUUUGAGCUAAUACCGGAUAAUGACGUAAGUCCAAAGAUUUAUCGCCUAGGGAUGAGCCCGCGUAGGAUUAGCUAGUUGGUGGGGUAAAAGCCUACCAAGGCGACGAUCCUUAGCUGGUCGAGAGGAUGAUCAGCCACACUGGGACUGAGACACGGCCCAGACUCCUACGGGAGGCAGCAGUGGGGAAUAUUGGACAAAUGGGCGAAAGCCUGAUCCAGCAAUGCCGCGUGAGUGAUGAAGGCCUUAGGGUUGU
rnacentral:rRNA from 1 species